rnacentral:lncRNA from 1 species
CGGCCAUUCGACGCGACGCCCCUCGAUGGCUUCGAGCGCCAGCACGAUGUGGGCCAGCGCGAGCACGCCCUCCUCGACCAUGAGCGUGGUGCCCUCGGCGAGCGCGGCCGCGUCCUGCGUGUCGGCCUUUUCCGCCUCGCCGGUGGGCGCCGCCUCUGCCGACUGAAUGUGUCCCUCGGCGUCGUUGGGCUUCUCCGGUUGCUGUUGCUCUUCUUCCUCCAUCUGGGCCUGCUCGAUGUCGGCGGGCGUGACGCCGUUGGCCCACACCUCGGACGCCACGCGGGCGAGGCCGGCAAAGGUGGCCACGGCGCGCUGGG